rnacentral:rRNA from 1 species
GGGAGUAUUGGACAAUGGGCGACAGCCUGAUCCAGCCAUGCCGCGUGAGUGAUGAAGGCCUUAGGGUUGUAAAGCUCUUUUAGUGGGGAAGAUAAUGACGGUAACCGGAGAAGAAGCCCCGGCUAACUUCGUUCCAGCAGCCGCGGUAAUACGAAGGGGGCUAGCGUUGUUCGGAAUUACUGGGCGUAAAGCGCACGUAGGCGGACUAUUAAGUCAGGGGUGAAAUCCCGGGGCUCAACCCCGGAACUGCCUUUGAUACUGGUAGUCUCGAGUCCGAGAGAGGUGAGUGGAAUUCCGAGUGUAGAGGUGAAAUUCGUAGAUAUUCGGAGGAACACCAGUGGCGAAGGCGGCUCACUGGCUCGGUACUGACGCUGAGGUGCGAAAGCGUGGGGAGCAAA